ACUAAACUCUAAGCUAGAAGCUUAACACAUGCAAGUCGUAUGAAAGCGCUACUUCUAAAGUCAAGUCAAGGCGACCACCACUGGAGUCGGCCCGCCCGGUACAUAGGAUGAUUAAUGUGAUGUAAAAGAGGGCGGGUGAGCUUUCUAACAAAAAGAAAAUAACAUAACAAAGUACGAAGGACCAACGACGAUCUUUGAGGAUAAGGAGUAGUUGUAGGAGCUAAUU
rnacentral:lncRNA from 1 species